GGAGAGGUGGCUCAGUGGGUAAGAGCACUGGCUUAUUUUCCAGAAGACCUGAGUUCAAUUCCCAGCCUGUACA
rnacentral:tRNA from 1 species